UCAACCAACUUUUCUUUACAUUUUUUAAAACCCGUGCCCAAUCAAAGUGUGACUCUUAAUCGGGGACGGAGGGGGUAUCAUUUUGUACUAACAUGUCGUAGGGAAUUUUCUUGUACAAAAUUAGGUCAACCCUUUUCCAAAAACCAACAAUCAUUCACUUUCUUCACGUCAACUUCCCAACUCGUAUCUCUUUCCCCUCGCAUUAUGUUGCAUCUUGUCGGAAUAUUCUCACCAAAUUCGUCGACCAAAUCUGGAGGAAUUCUCUAUUGCAUAUGCAAACAAAUUAAGGAGAAAUAGAAUUAUUAAAGCAUUAUUAUUAUUAUGAAAGUUAGUGGGUAAGUGGCAAUGAAUGUCAUUAGUGGAUAGUUAAUCAUGAAAAAAAUGAAGAGUUUUAGUAUUAAUAUUUCAUUUAAGUUACAUAACAUGAUAUUUUUAAAUUUAAAAAUAAAGUAAGUAUAUGAAAAAAUUCUUUUUAUACUAUGAAUGACAUUCUUUAAUUAUUCCCAAAACUCUCCUUUUAUAUAUUUAUAGAUAGAUUAUAAUUUUUAAUUUUUUAAAAUAUAAACUUUUGAAAUGAUAUAAAUUUUAAUAUAAAUUUGAUAAAGAAAAAAUAUGUCGUGAAAAAUGAGUUUCAUAUCAUAAGAGGGAAAGAAAGUUCCUAAAAUAAAUGGGAUGUCGGCACUGCACUGCUUUACUAAAUUUCAGCCCCGUUUCUUAAAAUUUCUGAUUCCGUCAUUGUUCAAUGCUUUCGUUCUCAUAAAAUUUUUAGUAAGAGAUUUAUUUUUAUUGGUUUGGAAAGAAUAUUUUUAAGAUUAAUAGUUGUUGUAUUAGAGUUGACGCAUAUUUAAUUCGGAACCACCACCUAACGCCGUUGACAAAUCCUGUUCUCCGGCUUCACCACCGCAACUCUACUCCGAGAUGGCGGCUUAUGGUGCAGCCACUUCUCUUAAGUACACGAUUCAUCGUAUUCUGCAUUCGUCUCGGAUUUCGCUGGUUCAUCCCUCUCAACAAAUCUUACAACGAGCGUAUGAGGCCAUGGUUCGCUUGCAGAAAGUUUUACUAAAGCUGGAUGAGACGAGCUACUGCAAGAUCAGGACGGAGGUGAAUGUUGUGGAUGAACGAAUCAAAGAGGUUGUAUGGGAAUUCGAAGAUUUACUCGAAUCCCAUUACACAAAUCAGAUUCUUCUACAGCUCAAAAGAGAGAGAGAUCACUUGUCUUUCUUAGCAGAUAUGCAGAGUCGUCGGCAGAGUGUUGAUUGCUUCGUCGAGAGAGUGACGAUGACGGAGGCGGGGUACAAAGUUCAGCUGGAGAAUAUGCCUGAAGAAGAAGGCGAACCUGUUUCCUCAAGGAUUGAUUUCGGUGGAAUCAACUCUGAGAAGGUUGGAUUAUCUGAUGAAUUUGAACGAGUCAAGGAUUUGAUUCUUGUACAAGAUCGUGGCAAUUUCAAUUGGCUAUCAGUGAUUGGGGUGGCAGGGGUUGGAAAGACAACUCUGGCGAAGAAAGUAUUUGACGAUCCAACUAUUCAGAGACAUUUCGAGCUUCGAGCAUGGGUCACAGUGGGCGGAAAAUGUGAUUCCAAAACUUUACGACGCAUUCUAGCUCAACUGGAUCCCAACAUUCGCCACCAAGUGCUUAACCAAGGAGAUGACGAUGAUGGCAUCGAUAUUUUAGUUGGAGUCUUGAAAGAGAGAUUGAAGAAUAAGAAGUGUCUCCUUGUGAUGGACGAUGUAUGGGAAUGGGACAAACGGCUAAUGGAUAGAUUGCCAAAGGAGAAUAUUCAAAUCUUGCUUACAAGUAGGCUAAGAUCUAAUGGAAUGUCACUUCGAAGAUUGCUAGGAGUUAAAGGGUCUCCAUUUCAAGUAGUAUGUUUGCUGAAUGAAGAAGAACGUGAGAAAUUACUUGGUGUGAAGGUGCUCAAUCAGAAGGGUUUGGGAGAUCUCUUAUCUUUCUCUGUGGAUCUGCAGAGUCUGCGGCAGAGUGUUGAUAGCUUCAUCGAGACAGUGACGGUGAUGGAGGCAGAGUAUGAUAUUGAACGGUUGAAUAUGCCUGAAGAAAAAGGUGUACCUCUUUCCACAAGAAUUGAUUGCCAUAGAAUCAACUCUAAUAUGGUUGGAUUAUCUGAUGAAUUUGGACAAGUAAGGGAUUAUCUUCUUGCAGAAAUUGAAGUUGAUAAAAGAUGUGUAGAUGAAAAGGAUUGGCUAUUAGUUAUAGGGAUGGCAGGGGUUGGAAAGACAACUCUUGCAAAGAAAGCAUUUGAAGAUCCAACCAUUCAGAGACAUUUCGACUUUCGAGCAUGGGUGAAAGUGGGAAGAAAAUGUGGAAUCAAUGAAAUAUUACGAUGUAUUCUAGCUCAAGUGGAUCAAAACAUUCGCAACCAAAUGCUUACUCCAGCAGACAAUAAUGAUGACGAGGUGGAAGAACUCUUGGAAGAGAGAUUGAAGGAUAAGAAAUGUCUCAUUGUGUUAGAUGAUGUAUGGGAAUGGGACACAGAUAUAAUUGAUUACUUGCCACAUGAUAAUGUCCGAAUCUUGGUUACAAGCAGGCUAGGAAUUGAAGAAUCUUCGCAUCAUGUCAUAGUACGAUUGUUGACUUUCGAAGAAAGUAAGGAAUUACUUGGCGAGAAGGUGUUUGGUAAAUAUGGUUUCCCUUCCCACCUGGAGAAAUUGGGAGAAAAGAUUGCCAAAAAAUGUGAAGGUCUUCCACUUAUGAUAGUCACAGUUGCCGAGCUCCUAUCCAAUGAAGAAAAGACCCCAGAAUUCUGGACUGCGGUAGCUGGGAAAAAACAUAAUUCAGUUUUCGUGGAUGCAUAUAGUAAAAUAUAUGAGGUACUUUUACCAAGCUAUGAAUACUUACCUCAAUAUCUAAAAAUGGUUUUUCUCUAUAUUGGAGCUUUCCAUCCGUACAAAAAUAUCGAACAAAAUCACAUGUUCUCCUUGUUGCAUGCUGAAGGGUUUCUAGAACAUAGUCUAAAACAGACUAAGGAGCCUUUUGCUGAAUUUUGCUUGGAAAGGCUUGCAAGCUAUUAUCAUCUUUUUCUGUUUAGAUUAGAUACAAAAUCUUGGUUUUCAAGGCCACAGUCCCGCGUGCAUUCAUGUUGGCAGCACUUGUGUAAGAAAGAAUCAAGUAAGAUCAAGUUUCUGCAUGUCUUACAAAGUUGGCAUGAUGUUUUGAAAGACCAACGUCGGUUGUGUACCAAUGAUCACAUGUUGUUUGCCUUUGAACAAGUGCUUCGCUCAAUAACGUAUGAUGGCGCAUCCACCGUCCGUUCUUUGCUUUGUUUUGGUCCUUACCAUCACUAUCCGGUGCCAAUACUUGCCAUGAAUUUCAAGCUGCUCAGGGUAUUAGAUGCUUACCAAGUCCGGUUCUACCAUUUCCCACUUGAAAUUUUCAGACUAGUUUGUUUGACGUAUCUUGCCCUAACUUGCACCAGAGAGAUCCCAUCUUCCAUAUCCAACCUUUUUCAGCUUCAAGUGUUUCUUAUCAAAUCCCAUGAGAACAUUAAAAAGCGUGGAGUUGUGUCAUAUUUGCCGAUGGAAAUGUGGGACAUGCAAGAACUAAUAUGUAUUGAUGUCACUGGAAGAGACCUACCAAUCUCUAAUGGUGAUACUACUUUGGACAAACUCCACACUCUUUCUGGUGUUAGUACGAAGAGUUGCACUAGAAAAGUUCUCAGAAGAAUCCCCAAUUUGAAGUCAUUACUAAUUAUUAUGGAGUUGGAACCUUAUGCUGACGACAAUAAUGACGACCCAUUGAGUGGAUUGGAUUAUAUAUCUCAAGAACUCCUUCAUUUGGAGGCACUUAAAUUUCUUGUAGUGAACCCUGAGAUGAUGUUUGAGUAUGUGGUUCCUUUUAAAAUGUUCCCAUCAAGUCUGACAUUGUUGAAAUUGGGUGGCACUGGGUGUUCAUGGCAGCACUUGAAUGACAUUGGUUCGUUGCUACCAAAUCUCAAGGAGCUUUUCUUACAUGACUAUGCCUUCCGAGGGCCAGAGUGGAAUAUAGUCAUUGGGUGUUUUUCAAAACUUGAGACACUUGUAAUUCAAGACACUGAUUUGGUGCGAUGGAGCGCUCAAAGGCGAAGCCUCUCAAAUCUUAAACUCCUAAGUUUACAGCAUUGCUACAAGUUACAGCAACUCGAAUGGAAAUAUGGUAGAGCAAGAUAUAAAUCUGAAAUGCAUGCAAUUGAAUUAAUUGAGUGCAAUCCCAUGGCUGUAAGCUCUGCCAAUCAGUUACCGGAAUCUUUGUUUACAGUUCGUAGCUACUCUUCUUUUUGUUAGCUGAGAAGUCGUAGCCAGAAUCUUUUGCUUGGUUAACAGGUUAGCCUCCCUACUUCAUAUAAUUUGCACUAACUUUAUAAAUUCACUUAUUUCUUACCUAUAAUGCAUGUGUUUGUGAUUUAAACUUGACGAUGUGUUUUUGUUAUAUAUUAUCGUAGUACGUGUGUUUUAAGUUGUUAGCUGCUCUUUUUCUUGCUAGUGUGUGUGGUUUGGUGGUUUCUAUUACUGCGCGUGCAGUGUGUUUCCUGAAUCUAAGGAUUGUGAAUUGUUGGAUUUUGCUGAGGAUCAUGAAACCUAGACGGUGAUUUAUGUUUGUAACCGAAACUGUUGUCAGUUAGAUUUGUAUGAAAACAUACAUGUAGUUCAAGCCGUGUUAUGCAUGAUUUUCACUUUGUUUUGAUUCUAUGUGGAUCAGUUGAUGCGUUUUCGUUAGUCGAAGUUCAUCAAUAAGCUCAUUUUCAAGGUGAGAAUAUAUUUAUAUGUUUAUUUAUCGAUUAAUGUAGCAAAAGAGAAGGGAUUAUUACUUGAUUCUUGAUUAUUUUGUUUUUAUAUUAGAUUGAUAAGUGUGUAUGUAUACAGUAUACCAUCAUCACAUUUGUAUAAUAGGAUUUCAACCUCUUUCUAUGAUGUUUAUAGAGAUUCACAUUGAGGAAUUCUUGCAAUGAGAGAUCAGUGUGGGUUUAUGUUGUGGCUAUAGAUUUUAGCAAAAAAUAAAAGAUCAGAAGGGGUAAGACGACGUCGAUUUGUAAUUGAGUCAUAUGUGUUUUUAAGUCAUUUUCUGUAAUCGCGUGUGGGCAUGUUAUAAGCUCAUUCAUGGGUUUUUCUUCGUUUGGUUCUUUUCCCAUGUCGUACGUAGUGUUUGAAUCAAACAAGACUCUUGUUUCUUAAUACUACAAAUUCUACUUAAUUAUGAUUCUAUUUUGAGCUG